rnacentral:rRNA from 1 species
AGAGUUUGAUCCUGGCUCAGAACGAACGCUGGCGGCAUGCCUAACACAUGCAAGUCGAACGAGAUCUUCGGAUCUAGUGGCGCACGGGUGAGUAACGCGUGGGAACCUACCUUUUAGUACGGGACAACGUUUGGAAACGAACGCUAAUACCGUAUACGCCCUCCGGGGGAAAGGUCAGCCGCUAAAAGAGGGGCCCGCGUCUGAUUAGCUUGUUGGUAAGGUAAUGGCUUACCAAGGCGACGAUCAGUAGCUGGUCUGAGAGGAUGAUCAGCCACACUGGGACUGAGACACGGCCCAGACUCCUACGGGAGGCAGCAGUGGGGAAUAUUGGACAAUGGGCGCAAGCCUGAUCCAGCCAUACCGCGUGUGUGAAGAAGGCCUUCGGGUUGUAAAGCACUUUAAGCAGGGAGAAAAAGUUAUAAGUUAAUAUCUUAUAACCCUGAUGUUACCUGCAGAAUAAGCACCGGCUAAUUCCGUGCCAGCAGCCGCGGUAAUACGGAAGGUGCAAGCGUUAAUCGGAAUUACUGGGCGUAAAGCGCGCGUAGGUGGUUUGUUAAGUUGGAUGUGAAAGCCCUGGGCUCAACCUAGGAACUGCAUCCAAAACUAACUCACUAGAGUACGAUAGAGGGAGGUAGAAUUCAUAGUGUAGCGGUGGAAUGCGUAGAUAUUAUGAAGAAUACCAGUGGCGAAGGCGGCCUCCUGGAUCUGUACUGACACUGAGGUGCGAAAGCGUGGGUAGCGAACAGGAUUAGAUACCCUGGUAGUCCACGCC